GUCAGUGGUAUUCUGUAGUAAAAUGUAUGUGUUUAACAACUACAUAUAUGAGCAGCUAAAUUAAUUGAGGUAAUUAAACAAAUGGUGUAAGGGGUACAAACUACGAUAUAUAUAAAAAAUAAGAUAAGAAUCAUUGGCCUCAUUGCAUCUAUGUUCACGUGACCUUCAAUUUAACCCCUUAGCUAGAGAUAGAUAACGCAUGAAUUAUGUCUGUUCGGUUAUUAAAAGGAAAAGAAUGUCGACAUUGAAAGUGAAACAAAGGUUAAUCAUUUGAUUGACUGAUUCGAUCAACAAAAACUCAUUCUUAUAAAGGUACAAACGAUUAUUAACACAUAUUUUAAACCUAUAAUAUAAAAUUUAACAGAGAAAAAUCUAAUUGUACGAGUUCGUUAUCUAAUUGUAUCUAUAUUUUUGUUUAUAUCGCUUAUAUGUCAGCCGUCUUCGGGGUCAACCCAAUAGUUAAUUAGCUGGCGUCUAGACUAAAAUACACACGCAACGAUCAUUCCUAUUAUCGAGUCAAUGCCUUGUAAAUUGUUUAUUUUAGACGUUUUAGUAUGAUAUAAGUCAAAUAGGAGAAUGUGAGUCAAAUCGCUAAACAUGAAUUUGACAGACAAUGCCCCUUUAAAGCCUGGCCCAAACCCUAAAUGUAAACAAAAACCAUACAAUACAACAUAGUUUGCAUGAAUCGAUUAUGGUAAGUACGUUUAUAGGAAUGAUAUUUACGUAACUUCAAAUAAUCUUAUGCAAAUCUUCGUUUCAUUCACAUUCAAGUAAAUAAAACAGAUACUAAGAUCCUUUCAAUAUUAUAUGUUUUCUUAAGUCAUCUUCUUUGCAGUUUGUCAUGCAGUACGGGGCGCCGAAUGGGACUCUUGUGGUUUUGUACAAAAUUCAAUUCUGUCAUAGCAAAAUCAUUUUUGUCUUACAAAACUAUGUGCUACAGACUUGUUUUGUGAGAACUUCAAUUUUGUGAUGACAAAAUUCAUUUGUGUAGACAAAAUUCAUUUUUGUCAUGACAAAAUUCAUUUUUGUAGACAAAA
rnacentral:lncRNA from 1 species